CCUACGGGUGGCUGCAGUGAGGAAUAUUGGUCAAUGGACGAGAGUCUGAACCAGCCAAGUAGCGUGAAGGAUGACUGCACUAUGGGUUGUAAACUUCAUUUAUAUGGGAAUAAAAUGUUCCACGUGUGGGAUUUUGUAUGUACCAUAUGAAUAAGGAUCGGGUAACUCCGUGCCAGCAGCCGCGGUUAUACGGAGGGACCGAGCGUUAUGCGGAUUUGUCGGGGUUAAAGGGAGCGUAGGUGGAUUGUUAAGUCAGCGGUGAAAGUUUGUGGCUCAACCAUAAAAUUGCCGUUGAAACUGGAGGACUGGAGUGUGUGUGAGGUAAGCGGAAUUCCUGGUGUAGCGGUGAAAUGCAUAGAUAUUACGAAGAACUCCGAUUGCGAAGGCAGCUUACUGAGCCAUAACUGACACUGAGGCACGAAAGCGUGGGGAGCAAACAGGAUUAGAUACCCCGGUAGUC
rnacentral:rRNA from 1 species